rnacentral:rRNA from 1 species
UACAGAGGGUGCGAGCGUUAAUCGGAGUUACUGGGCGUAAAGGGCGCGUAGGCGGUGGGAUAUGUGUGAUGUGAAAGCCCUGGGCUUAACCUGGGAAGUGCAUCGCAAACUAUCUGACUGGAGUAUAAGAGAGGGUGGCGGAAUUUCCGGUGUAGCGGUGAAAUGCGUAGAGAUCGGAAGGAACGUCAAUGGCGAAGGCAGCCACCUGGCUUAAUACUGACGCUGAGGCGCGAAAGCGUGGGGAGCGAACAGG